AGGGGGUUAGAAUUCCACGUGUAGCAGUGAAAUGGGUAGAGAUGUGGAGGAACACCGAUGGCGAAGGCAGCCCCCUGGGUCAAGACUGACGUUCAUGCACGAAAGCGUGGGGAGCAAACAGGAUUAGAUACCCUGGUAGUCCACGCCCUAAACGAUGUCUACUAGUUGUCGGGUUUUAAUUAACUUGGUAACGCAGCUAACGCGUGAAGUAGACCGCCUGGGGAGUACGGUCGCAAGAUUAAAACUCAAAGGAAUUGACGGGGACCCGCACAAGCGGUGGAUGAUGUGGAUUAAUUCGAUGCAACGCGAAAAACCUUACCUACCCUUGACAUGUCAGGAACCUUCGAGAGAUGGGGAGGUGGGCCACGAAAGGGAGCCUGAACACAGGUGCGGUAGCAUGGCGGUCGUCAGCUCGUGUC
rnacentral:rRNA from 2 species